CGAGAACCUGCAGAGAUCACGUGGUGCAGUGAAAAGCUGGCGCAUGCCCAUAGAGGCGCGGCUUCUGCCACCAGCCGGCUCUACCCAGCUUCAGCGGCUCUGAGCUUUACAGGCCCCUGCAGUUGGCUGCCCAAGUCUUAGAAGGUUGGUUGUGUGGAGCCUUUCGUGUAUCAGGAAAACUUCUUUUACACUCCAGAGUCGUCUGUCUCUGACCAAAUGAAAAUCACAGAGGAGACAGAUUUUAAAUGAGAGGAAACGAAGGGUUUAAACUGAGCUGAACACGAAUUCUAAGUAAAGAAGAAGGCUGUGAGCUUGAAACUGUGUGCUCUUUCUUAACCAUGGGAGCCCUGCUGAGCACAUUGGGAAAUGGCCAUUCUUAGGCCUGGUUUCACAACAUCACCAGGUCUUCCUAUGUUUCCAGCAUUGAGCGAGGCUCUGGAAUUGGGGAAGGAAUCACAAAAAUGCUCAUGAUCUAGAGGCUGAGCUGGAGAAACAAACAAAAGUGCUGCAGACUGAUCAUUUCUGGAAGCAAGUUCUGCAUAAAGGGAAGAGCUGCUGCAACUCUGACAUCCCUUCACGUGGUGAGAAUGCUUAUAGGAGCCUGGAUGCCCUGGCAGCUUCCACAGGAGAGAGGUACAUGGUGACCCCAGUGUCAACAAAUGGAAUUCACACGGCAGAGAUGCUUGGACUUCAGAGGCCUGUCUCAGCUGGACUGGGCUCUAGCUCUGGCCAGAAGCUUGCCAGCCACAGGCCGACGGAGUAUAUGGCAUAGGGUCUGGAAUGGGGGGAGGCCCAGGUUAAAAUCUCAGCUUUCAUACCUACGGGCUUUGUGACUUUAGUCUGUUUAUAGCCUCUUUAAGCUUCCAUGUUCAUAUCUGUAAAGUGAGGAUGAUGAUACCACUCACCUCCCAGCAUUGUUAUGAGGAUUAACAGAGAUAACACAUGUUAAGUGCUUAGUGUAGCCCUUAGCAUAUAGUAACUAUAUAAUGAAUGUUCACAAAAGAAAAAACAAAGCAAAACAAAACGAAAUUCAGUCAAUCAAAUAACAACAAAAAUAGGACAAUA